UCUGAAAACAAGCGUGGAGAAGCAAAGGGAUUCGCAAUUCCUGACUUACUCCCAAGCGCAUUCCGCGCAAUCCACUGCAAUGACCAGAUCGGCUGUAAGCACAAUUUGGAGGCCUUUGAAAUCUUUUUUGGGGGGGGGAAGACUUACCUUUCUCUUCGGCAUAAUGAUUACGUUCGUGCGGCUAAAAAGUAAAGCAACGGGCUGGAACUGCAGACGCCGCCGCUGGAUGCCGCCGCUGCAGCUGCUCACGCGCAGGGCACGGCGUAGCCCGGCCUCUCCGACCUGCACCUCGGCGGCUCCCUCCAGGGGCCCUCUACUCGCUCGCCUCCCCGCUCCUCCAAUGAGGAGCCCCGGCAGCCGGCCGCGAGGCCCCAUUGGCUGCGGCAACAUUCUAAAUUCCACGAGGGCACGCCCACCCCGGCGCACACGUCGGAAUCGUAUAUCUACCUCAGCAUUUUUCAAAACAGCUGGGCAAACUCAUUGAUGGUAUCAUGACUAUCAUUAAGGGAGAAAAAGAGUAAGAAGGGAAAAGAAAAGAAAGAGCAGAGCAUGGAAAAUAUCACAGUGCAUUUCACAUGGUAAAGGAAGUCAGAUAUUGCUGUCCUUGGGGUGCUACACACAUAUUACUUACUUACCUGGAUGGAUUCUUUUAACUUUUGAUUUUUGAACACCUGUGUAAAG